rnacentral:hammerhead_ribozyme from 1 species
GCACUGCUGAGGAGUCCCACAACAGGACGAAACGGGUGUCCAGUGU